AUAACUCAAAAGUAAAGAAUCAAGACUUAGCGUCUACCCAUGUGAUAACAAUUCAAGAAGAUGUUAGUUUUUGCAAUGGACUUUUGGUAUAAACAUCUAAGAACUAAACCAGUCUUAAAAUUAACUUUCUGGUCAAAUGGCAUAGAGGCCCUCCUACACUAUUGGGCGACGCAGCGUACAGACAUUGCCAAAUUGUAAAUGUAUCAGUAUGUAGCCCACCGGUAAACUUAUUAGCAUAACGCAAGGUGUACAAGAAGUUGUCUCCUCAAUUUUUAUUACGUCUUCUAAUCAUCUUUUUUACGACAUCAUCUAAUCAACUUUUAUUACGACAUUGUCUCAGUGCGUAAAUUAGCAACGCCUACAAUUUAUUUCUGGUAGAGGUGUGUGAAGGUUACAAUGCCCCCACGUAUGAUCACACACAGAGCACUAUGUCAGCUUCGACAUUGUUGACAUCGUAAUGAAAUGUAGCCUGUCUGAAAAUCAGAAGCUUCUAGGGGAAAUAGACAGCCUAGUUAUUGAAGAAGUGUCUGACAGCUGUGGAAAUAUAAAACAAUGCCCCAGUGUGCGAGUCAAAUCUUCAAAGUAACUCAACACGAGUUUUUUAGAAAACACUGGAUAAACAGAUGUCUGAGUUCAGGAGCUGCCUUAGGGGCACCGCCCAGUCCCCGCAUCUGGAAGAGAUGCGUGAUAAAGGGAAUCAUUUGUCUCAAUCAGCGCAUCGUACAAAUUAUCCCGUGGCACUGCUAAGGUCGCCCUUACCGAGUUAUGGACUCUAUCACAAAGUCUGAGCUAAGUCCUAUUUACUGUACAGCCCUCGACAUAGUCAUUCAAAUAAAUUUGACUAGUGGGUCAAAAUUAAAUAACAAUCAUUAGAGAAAAACUCAAACAACAGAAAACAAAACAAAAAACAUCAACAUCAAAGAAAUACAGACUUAAAUUGGGCUUCAUUCCUGUAAACCUUCAUACCAUCUAGCCCAGCGGUUCUCAACCUUUUAAGCUC